rnacentral:rRNA from 1 species
UUAUCAAAAACAUUGUUUUUUAAAAAUUUUAGAAAAUAAGGCCUGCACACUGAAUAAUUUAAAGAGCCGCGGUAAUUUGACCGUGCAAAGGUAGCAUAAUCAUUAGUUUUUUAAUUGAAGACUGGAAUGAAAGGUUUAAUAAAAAAUAAGCUUUAUUAUUUUAAUAAUAAAUGAAUUUGUUGUUUUAGUAAAAAAACUAAAAUAUUGAUAAAAGACGAUAAGACCCUAUAAAGCUUUAUAAUAAAAAUUAUAUAAUUUUUUUAGAAUAUUAAAAAUUUUAUAUUUUAGUUAUUUGAUUGGGGUGAUUUAAAGAUUUAUUUAACUCUUUAUUAUUUGUUUUUAAUUAUAGUUAAAUUAAAGAUCCUGAUUUUUUGGAUUUUAAAAUUAAGUUACUUUAGGGAUAACAGCGUAAUUUUUUUGGAGAGUUCAAAUCGAUAAAAGAGUUUGCGACCUCGAUGUUGGAUUAAAAUAAUUUUUGGGG